GUGGAUUAUGGCAGAAGAGGGGACGUUCUGGAGAAAGUAUAUCCACAGUCGCUAUGAAUCGGAAAAGACUAAAUGGCAUUUGAUAUAAUAAUAACAAUAACCCCCAUAAGCCCUUAGCAGAAGUGGCGAUGGAUGCACCACAGCAGUGAGGAGGAGGAGAAAAAGGAGGAGGUGGAGAAGCAGAAGUCCGUAAAGACUUCCCACACUCUUCCUCCUUUCUGUCUGCAGGAGCAGCAGCAACCAUCUCGGCCAUCUCCACCAUCAUGGCCCGUCCCGGAACCAGACGAUGGUGCUAAGAGUGAGACUCCAACCAAACGCGUGAGGUACUGAAGACACUCUGUGAAUACAACUUAAUAGCAGGGUAUAUUUUCUAACCCAUUACCCCAGUGGGUGAACAUUACGCCUCUUAGUAGGGCUGCCCGAAGUCCACCAGAGAUGCUGUCCAACAGCCCUACUUUCUCUUCACUCAGUCAGCCAUUUUCAGCCUGUAAGCUUGUUGUGGGCAGGAACGUGUCCGUUUAUUGUUAGGUUGUACUCUCCCAAGUGCUUAGUAUAGUGCUCUGCACACAGUAAGCGCUCAAUAAAUACGAGUGGAUAAAUGAAUGGAUGAGAGGCCGUGCUGCUGCCUACUCUGUCACUGCACCCUGAGGCGAUGGCUUACCUUGUUUACCAUCUGAGCCAGCCUGUCUUUUUUUCCUUCUUCCCUCUCCCGUUCCCCAUUUCUUCCUUUUCCUUCCUCUCCUUUCCCCUUUUGCUACCUAGAAUUGGGUGGACAUACAGUAGAGUCAAUUAUUUGAACCUUGUUUAUUUGGCAGAAGUCAUCUGAGACACUCCAAAGCAGAAGUUUAGGUCCACGAACAGAGUUGGGUGUAUACCUAAGUUAGCCAAAUUGAAUUAUGUUUGCUCUCCUAACUUUCCAUUAUCUAAACUAGCCCUUGGACCACCACAUUUGUUUGGCUAAUUUUCUACUGAAUGUUAAAACCUGACCAAUUAAGUGUACACAGCAAAUGUGAAGCUUCAAAACUAC
rnacentral:lncRNA from 1 species